UUCCUAUAGUUACUGAACCAUCAACGCAUGCUCCACGGUCUCUGAGCGCACACCAAGAUGGACUUGCCUCUCCUGAAAGAUAUCAACAAGCAAUCAUUUUGAUGGAAAGUUAUGGCUAGGAUUGCAAGAGUCUGGGAGCUCAAAAGAAAAGACACAGGAACUACCUAUGAGGUGGACUUCCUACUGCUUGAUCGACAGGGUGGCACAAUGGAAGGUUUGAUUGCAGAGAAGAGAUUGGCCCAAUUUACGAAGCACAUUACCGAGGGAACAAUUUAUACAAUUGAGGACUUCAAUCUAUAUGAUGCCAAGAGCAGGUCUAGAUCUUCAGAUCACCCCCUCAGGGUAUGUUUCACAUUUCGCAUUAAGCUUAAAAAAGUGGAGCCCCAACCCGUGAAUUUCCCAAUAUUUGCCCACAACGCCAGGCCAUUCUCCGUGUUGGAAGCACGUGCUGAUCAAAACCACAUCUGAUCAGAUGUUAUUGGAGUAAUCGUGCAAGUUACAGAACUUUUGCCAGGCUCCAGCACAAACCCAGAUGAUCGCUGUCAGAUCUACAUCACUAAUGGAAAGUAGGCAAACACUGUCGUUUCCUGCCACUGCACCAAUCAUAAUCUGUUUCGCCAAUAAUUUUUGCUCUUCUUAUUGUCUGACAGCCAGCGGGCUGUGGUGAGACUUUGAG